rnacentral:rRNA from 1 species
AGUGAACGCUGGCGGUAGGCCUAACACAUGCAAGUCGAACGGCAGCACAGGAGAGCUUGCUCUCUGGGUGGCGAGUGGCGGACGGGUGAGGAAUACAUCGGAAUCUACUCUGUCGUGGGGGACAACGUAGGGAAACUUACGCUAAUACCGCAUACGACCUACGGGUGAAAGCAGGGGACCUUCGGGCCUUGCGCGAUUGAAUGAGCCGAUGUCGGAUUAGCUAGUUGGCGGGGUAAAGGCCCACCAAGGCGACGAUCCGUAGCUGGUCUGAGAGGAUGAUCAGCCACACUGGAACUGAGACACGGCCCAGACUCCUACGGGGGGCAGCAGUGGGGAAUAUUGGACAAUGGGCGCAAGCCUGACCCAGCCAUACCGCGUGGGUGAAGAAGGCCUUCGGGUUGUAAAGCCCUUUUGUUGGGAAAGAAAUCCAGCUGGCUAAUACCCGGUUGGGAUGACGGUACCCAAAGAAUAAGCACCGGCUAACUCUGUGCCAGCCGCCGCCGUAA